AUAUCUUCCCGUGAGUCCCUGAUCUUGAUCGUACACAUUUGCGUGUAUGAUUAAUGUACGAUUAAAUCGGGGGCGUCACUUCCGAUCUUCAGAUCUUCCGAUCUUCAGAUCUCCAUAUUUGGUGACUGCGGUGUUUUGAUAUUUCGUUGGAUUACUAUCUGUAUUUGGGGAUUAGCUAUGAAUUAAUGUUUUUACUUCGAGCAUGGAUAGUCGGCAGUACUGAUUUAGGUCUUUUUGUUGAACAGAAUGAUUAGCUCGUCUAUUUCUGGAGAACUGCACUAUAGAUGAUAUAUUUAUGAACGAUCUUAACACUGAAAAUGCAAAAUUUCUGGUAUGGUCUAAUGAUUGUCGGUGGGGUGUUACUUUUUUGCUGGCAUUGUCAAGUGCAGUUUUUGGAUUUCUACUGAGUUGUACAGUGUUUUGAGAUUUGUUUUUGUGUUAUGCUAUCUGCAGGAAAAUUCCCAGGGAUUUGAUUGACGGAUGCAUCAAUAUUUGACGUUGGAUUAUCCAUUUUUGCAGCACUAGCAAUGUUGUUUUUGUUUGGAAUGGCCAGUUCUCAAUUUCUAUUCUGUUAUCAACGAUAUUGUACUUCUUGUCAGGUUACAUUAUCUUACUUGGUUUCAGUGUAUAUGUAGCACAAAAAUAGGCAACAUGGUUGUUUCAUGCUCGAUUUGGUUUGUAGGUUACACUAAGGAACACCAUCAUAAGGAAAAGGGCAUUGCACUGCGUUCUUUAUAAUUGGCCUGUUACUAUUCGGUCUGCUGUAGUACUUAAUUGCUACACCAUUUCAAGUUAUGUAGUCUAAAAUAACCCUUUCAAAUGAACCUUUUUAAUUGAUAUUCAGAGCAUCAACAUGGUGGACUAGAUCAUGAAAUCAACUAUGAUCAUGAGAACUUGAAGCUAUUUGUUGACUAAAUUGUCAAUUGUUUUGCGUGAAUUGAAACUGGCAGUGUGAUGACAUUACUGUAGAUGCCUUGCUAUAUACAUUUGCCUAAUCCUCUCUCUCUCUAAUAUGUUCUCUUUUGUGAAGAUCCUUCGCAGAUCAAUUGGUGAGGCAGAAUGCUAAGCAUUGUUUCACAUUCAGGUUUGCUAUCAAACUCUCAAAAAGGAAAAACAACUUUACUCUGUUUUUUGGAGAACCUUCCUGUAGAGUACCUCGACAGAGACAAAUAUGCAAUCAAGGAUAUAUUCGAUGGAUUUUCAUGCAAAAUUUGGAGGAUAUUUUUGCAGAUAGUUUGGUGCUCUCAUGGUUAUUUUGUAGUGAUUUUCCUUCUGUUCAUUACUUGGUAACCAUCUACGGCAGCUCAGCUAUUGUCCAGUUGCUGACCUUGGUGAGUGAUUUAUGGUGCAUGUUUUUCUAUUAGUUUCUCUCUAUGCCAAUGUCUGAAUUUUAUCUUGCCGUUUUGCAUUUCUCCAGGCGUUUCAAUCUCACUGUGAUUCCCCGAGAUGCGUUAUUAGUAGGCAUCCACUUUGUAAUAAAAAUUUUGCAGUCAACUUGAAACGAGUCAUUUAUCUAGCUACAGCAACCUUCCUUGCUUUUGCAAAUAAUAUUGUAUGGUUGACCCUAUAGUCUAUACCUGCCAAAUAUUUACACGUUAGUAUAGCCAGAAAGUCAGAUGAUCGUUCCAUGUUGGUUAGCCGUCAUAAAUCAAAUUUCUAGAGUAGCAGAUGAUUCGUGUCAGGUUUCUUUUAGAGAUUGAAAUAUGUCUUGACUCUGGAAUUAGUAGUACAGCGUCAAGUUCUCCAUAGGUGAAAGCAUACUAUGCAAAACUGGCCGGCCUUCUAAAGCUCUGAAACUACUAUUUGUUGUGUAAUCUGUAUCCCCUUUUCAUACUUUGUAUAUGCUUUCUACUUACUAGGAAAAAUGCGUGAAAAUGAUGGCCUAGAGUAUGUGAAUUGCACUCAAAUAUAUGCAGGUUUCUUGCCAAACUAACUGCCACUACUGUAUUUCAGGUGCUUCUUCUGUAACUUAGUGUAUUUUGCUGGCUCGUCUCAUUUCCUGGCGAACUUUUUAGUCAAGAGCCAUGAAUAGGAGCAAGGCAUCACACUUUAGCUCUGAGAAGAAAAGGAUAUGAAGACAAAGAUAUCAGUGUUCUUCUCCGAAGCAAAAACAUUUUGCUUGUAAUAAUGAACUGUAAUUUACCACAAUCUCUAAAACAGGCCUACCUACUUGAUUUUGUAUUAGGAAGUAUGACUCAGCCAUAUAUAUUUGCAUUCACUUUGUUUAAUUAUGGUUUGUAUGCAUGAAAAUACCUUUUCAUAAACGAGCUUGAAAAUUCUUAUGUGCAGUGAAAUUGUAUCUUAGCACUUUGUAAAGAACGAAUGAAACACAUUUCGAAU